AUAAAAUUACCCGAAAGUGUUGUCAUUGUUAAAUAAAUUACGAAUGUGCGUCUUUGCGUCAAGGUCAUGAUUCUACAUAACAACAUCCGCUUGACCUCGCAAUGCCAAGAAGAAGAAAGGCGUGGAACAUUUGCUUAAGCCUGUCAAGAUCUUCAGCAGAUGUUUGAGCAAAAAGUCAUCAUCCUCUUCGUCACUCUUCAUCCGUAUUUGGGGUAACAAGCACCUGCUUCCCACAAGAGACUGGACAGCUGAUGUCAGACCUGCACCUUCCUUGAACAUGUUGGUAUCUUACUCUGUAUUUGUUCAAGGUGGUCACCCCAGGGUCUCAGGACUCAAAUUGAGUGCUCUAUGGAUUAAACAGAAAAUGCAGUAUAAACAAGUGUUAUGUUGUCUUCAACAUGUUGGUAACUUACUCUGUAUUUGUUCACGGUGGUCACCCCAGGGUCUCAGGACUCAAAACGAGUGCUCUAUGGAUUGAACAUAAAAUGUAGUAUAAACAAGUGUUAUGUUUUUAAAUGCCACUAAUAAUGUGUUUCUGUUUUCUUUCUCAUUAUGCUAACAAACACUCUUUUACCCCUCAUGUUAGGUAGAUCAACACUCCAACCAUCUGCAUUAGGGACUGAAUAAAGGAUGCCCUCUGUAGCUGGGAAUGUUAGAUCAGGCGGAUCAACAUUCCAUCCAUCUGCAUUAGGAUCUACCUUAGAGACACUCACUGGAGCUGUAAAUGGGAAGCAGGUCACUUACUUUGCAUUCGUCCUUGGUGGUCACCCAAGGGUCUCUAGAGUGAAAAUUACUCAAUCUAUGGAUUAAACAGAAAAUUUAGUUGUAUGAAGUGCAAUUUGGGACAUUCUUCCAGUUGUCGGCAACUUUGUGAAAAAGGCUGGAAACUUAAAUGCAGAAUUCUGGCCUGGUGUUUGGUCUGUGCUGUCUUUGGCUCUUGCAUCUCCAUCAUCCUGACCCUCUUUAGCAGCCUGUCCAUGUAUUUAUUUGGAGGCCACCAUGAGCACCCAUCUGCAUAAUAUGACUUUGUUACUCAGAUGUCCAUGCGCUCCUACAAAUUCUACAUUUUUUGUAAAGCUGCAACAAGUUGAAACCCUAUAAUUAUUAACGUUUGAUUUUGAACUAUGUAAUUCAAAUACAUGAAUAAGUAACAAAAGCAGAAAUUUAUUAAGAUAUUACCUUUUUGUUGCUUGUUUACUGAUCUAUCAAUCCUUUUGCAUUUUCAUAAUUGUUCAUCAUAACUUGGUAUACAGUGGAUGUGUGGCUGCAGAUAACUUUCUGAAGUCAAUUUAAAAAGACAAAAGUUAAUAAAUGCUGAAUUGGUCAAAUAUACAUUGUUGUAUUUUCACCAUUUUGAUGUUUAGGCAUUUCAUAACUUGAGGGUUAAUUCACGUAUAGUGAUGUUUCAAAUCAAAGAUUAAUUUAUUAAUGACAGCUAAUCAUUUUAUAAAGAUUUUUAUUACAAUAUUUAUUUAAUAUCAAUUUAAUACAUUUAAUUCGUUACACCUACAUUACUGAGCGCAAGGGAGUGCAGCCAACAAAUACAUUCAGGUGUGUUCGACUUAACACCGAGAUGCGCAGACAGCACGUGGUAUGACAUCAAAGUACCGCGAGAGUUUGGGAAAGCCCCGGAAAAGGUUUGAUCUCGCGGUACUUGAUGUCACGAUCGGUUUGCGUGUAGAUCAGCAUGAAGUAGAACACAUCUGAAAGAUGUGUGGGCUGCCUGUACUCAACGUUGCGAUAAUUCAGUAGAGUGUAACCUCAAUCGGGUUUUGCAGCUUCUGGGUGUCGUGUCGAACGAUCGCAGAACGAUUUUUUGUUCUUUUCCAACUCGAUUUUUAACUCCCUAGACUAGUAGGAUGUUCCAACGGGUGAAGCAACAGUGCUGACGGCAGAGUUUCAGUGUCAAUUUUUCAUGCCAUGAUCACUGGGGCGGAAACCAUUAUGACGUUGCCUUGGACAUCAAACUAAACCAUCUCAUUCUGGCUUUUUUCUAACAUCGAAAUCUCAGAAGGCCAGGACUAAGAUGGACGCAGCCUCCACAUGCAACCUUGCAUUUGAGGAACACCCAUAGAACGGUCAACUUACCCCAUACUCUAACCUGAAUGCAG